CCUGACCUAGGGACGCCGUGUGAAGGAAGAAGGUCUUCGGAUUGUAAACUUCUGUCGUGGGGGAAGAUAAUGACUGUACCCCAAAAGGAAGUACCGGCUAACUCUGUGCCAGCAGCCGCGAUAAUACAGAGGGUACUAGCGUUGUUCGGAAUUAUUGGGCGUAAAGGGUGCGUAGGCUGUCUUUUUAAGUCAAUUGUGAAAUUCUGGAGCUUAACUCCAGCGCUAUAAUUGAUACUAUAAGACUAGAAUAUGGAAGGGGUAGAUGGAAUUUCCAGUGUAAGAGUGAAAUCUGUAGAUAUUGGAAAGAACACCAGAGGCGAAGGCGAUCUACUGGGACAUUUAUUGACGCUGAGGCACGAAAGCGUGGGGAGCAAACAGGAUUAGAUACCCUGGUAGUCCACGCUGUAAACGAUGAGAGCUAGGUAUUGGAAUUUAAUUUCAGUGCCGUCGCUAACGCGGUAAGCUCUCCGCCUGGGGAGUAAGAUCGCAAGAUUGAAACUUAAAGGAAUUGACGGGGAUUAGAACAAUUGGUGGAUUAUGCGGUUUAAUUCGAAGGUACACGAAAACCUUACCAGCUUUUGACAUGUUAGUCGUAGGAAUAAGAAACUAUUCCGUCGGUUCGGCCGGACUAACACAGGUGCUGCAUGGCCGUCGUCAGCUCGUGUCGUGAGAUGUUGGGUUAAGUCCUAAAACGAGCGCAACCCCUAUCCUUAGUUGCUAACAGGUAAUGCUGAGUACUUUAAGGAGACUGAUAGUGAUAAGCUAUAGGAAGGUGGGGAUGAGGUCAGGUCCUUAUGACCCUUAUGGGCUGGGCUACACAUGUAAUACAAUGGUGACUACAGAAAGAUUUUAUAGCAAUUUGGCGACAAGGAGCAAACUUUAAAAGUCAUCUCAGUUCGGAUUGGUCUCUGCAACUCGAGACCAUGAAGUUGAAAUCAAUAGUAAUCGUAGAUAAGUAACGCUACGGUGAAUACGUUCUUCUAA
rnacentral:rRNA from 1 species